rnacentral:rRNA from 1 species
UACGUAGGGACCAAGCGUUGUUCGGAUUUACUGGGCGUAAAGGGCGCGUAGGCGGCAAUUCAAGUCAUCUGUGAAAUCUCCGGGCUUAACCCGGAACGGUCAGGUGAUACUGUUUUGCUAGAGUGCGGAAGGGGCAAUCGGAAUUCUCGGUGUAGCGGUGAAAUGCGUAGAUAUCGAGAGGAACACCGGUGGCGAAGGCGGGUCUCUGGGCCGAUACUGACGCUGAGGAGCGAAAGCAUGGGUAGCGAACAGG